rnacentral:rRNA from 1 species
UUCUGGCUCAGGAUGAACGCUAGCUACAGGCUUAACACAUGCAAGUCGAGGGGCAUCAUGGAGUUUGCUUGCAAACUCUGAUGGCGACCGGCGCACGGGUGAGUAACGCGUAUCCAACCUUCCCUAUAGUAGAGGAUAGCCCGGCGAAAGUCGGAUUUAAUACUCUAUGUUUUCCGUUGCAGACAUCUAAGAUGGAACAAAGGCUUGCCGCUAUAGGAUGGGGAUGCGUCUGAUUAGGUAGUCGGCGGGGUAACGGCCCACCGAGCCAUCGAUCAGUAGGGUUCUGAGAGGAAGGUCCCCCACAUUGGAACUGAGACACGGUCCAAACUCCUACGGGAGGCAGCAGUGAGGAAUAUUGGUCAAUGGACGAGAGUCUGAACCAGCCAAGUAGCGUGCAGGACGACGGCCCUAUGGGUUGUAAACUGCUUUUAUGCGGGGAUAAAGUUCACUACGUGUAGUGUUUCGUAGGUACCGCAUGAAUAAGGACCGGCUAAUUCCGUGCCAGCAGCGGC